GUUGUGGUGGCUCAGUGGCUAAGGCUUUGAGUUACAAAGCCAGAGGUUAGGUGUUCAAAUGCCAGCCCCACCA